UUUUAUUUUUGCAUUUAGCCCUCUCAAAAAAAAAAAAAAUCACAAAUAGUUUCAUCAAAUUUAUAAUUAUAAUUUUGACCCUAUUCCCGUCACGCAGCCGCCAUAUUAGCACCACCCAAGCUAGGUGGGGAGGGGUGUGGGGCGUUUGGAUUGACGAAUCUGUAGAUCCAACGUAAGUCAAGUGCAGUGGUGUUUGGGUUUUUCUGAAGUGUGAUUAUUUUUCUGUUGUUUGUUUUGACGUAACUCGUACAGUCUGAAAGUUAAAUUCAAUUACUUCUUCUGUUUGUUUUGAUGUAACUUGAUGCUGACAAAAUUAAUUUUUUGAGUUCCGUUGUUUGUUUUGAUGUAAGUAAGUGGAUCCCGUUAUCUCCUAAAUAUAGUGAUAAAUUUAUCACUAUAAAUUUUAACCUAUUAUAUAAUUAAAUUUUUAUUAUUAUUUAAAGGUAAUCAUAAUUUAUUGUAAAUAAGGUAAUUUUAACUUAUUAUAGAGAAAGUAGAGUUUAGGUCUUACUGUUUAAUAAACUUUUUAGAGAACUUUUUAGAGAAGGUUGAGUGCGGUGGAAGUCAAAUUCAGCACUUUAGAGAAAAAAGUCAAGAGUAGGGAAAGUGGAGAUCUAACGUAACUUGAGUUACAUUAUAUUUUUGACUUACACCAAAAUAAAUAACGGAAGUGAUGGAACUUGAGUUCCAUCACUCCACUUACACCAAAACAAAUGGACCCCACAGUGAAUCAAACAUGAUGAAUGGUUCACCGUUUUCCACAAUUAUAUUCUUUCUAUUCAAUACUUAUAUUUUUUCACAAUACAUAUAUAUUUUUUCUAAACACGGUGAAUCAUUCACCGUGUUCAACUUAUUCCACCUCCCCCACCCCUGGUCGCGUUGCACUGAUGUAGCGUCUGCAUGGCAGGAAUAGGGCCAAAUUGCAAUUAUAAAUUUGGUGAGCCUAUUUGUAAAAAUAAUUUUUUUUGAGGGGCCCAAAUGUAAAACAACAAUUCUAUAAAUUAUUAUAAUUAAGUCACAGUAAUGUUUUGCUGAUAUUGAAAUGAUGUGUCAUUUUAAUUACUAUUAUAUUAUUAAUUGUAAUACUAUUACAUCACUUCUACGUUGAUGAUAUAUUAAUAUUUAGUCAAUUAGAUCAGAUUAUGGAACUUAAUUAUAGUAAAAAAUUAUGAUAAAUUAAAUUUUAAAGG
rnacentral:lncRNA from 1 species